ACGCUCCAUAUUUCUUACCCAUCAGUCCUAAACGCUGGUCUGAGUGGUUAUGAAAGGAAGAAAAGUAAGACUGAAAAUAACUCAGAUUCUUAGGUGACAAUAAGCUAGUUUCAAACAAAC
rnacentral:snoRNA from 1 species